ACCCAAGCUCGUCCGACUUCACGAUUCGCUUUUGGUAGUUUUUAGGAAGUUCUUAGGUGAACAGAACUUUGCAGGGAAUCAAGAGAAUGCAAGAAAGUUCUGGCGGAUGCACCACGUAGAGGUCGUCAAUCAGAUUAAAAUGCCUAUCUUUAUUUACACUAAAGUUGCAUUCGGAUUGGCGAUUUGGUCAAAUCCGUACAUCUUUGGAUCAAGUUUAUCACAGUUUCCACGUUUGCGCAUAAAACUUCAAAUGGAUUCAAGUGUCAAAAAAGUAUAGGUUAUGUCAUGUAGUAAUUACAAAUAAUAAAAGUGUUUAAUUAAUAAUGAAGUGAGAUAUGUGGACUUAGAAGAAAACGUCCAUUUUGUUGUGCCAAUAACACUAUGGAUGGCUGCUGGGUGACAAAUACUACAAAAUAAUAAUAAUAAUAUUUGGUGCUUCCAGUAGGCGAAGAGUCAAUUGUUUUUAGCACUAAUUUGCGGCAUAAAAAAGCUAUUUUAUGAAUAUAAAGGUUCUGUUGUAAAUAAAGUGAAAAAAUAUUUAA